GGUGGUUCUCAGGUGACGCACCCUGGAAUUGUGCUCCCUCCUCUCUGGUUCUGGGUGCGUCAACUGAAAACUGCA
rfam:Myotis brandtii contig236222, whole genome shotgun sequence.